CCUUCUUCCAGAUGGGAGCAGGCUGGGGGGAGCUACUAUCACCCAGCUCAGGGCUUUCAGGGGGAGAACACUUUUUGAACUUCUCCGAGGAGCUUAAGGAGCCCACAGUUUCAUCACUUCAACAGAAGCCUUCAGGAAAACAGAGCUAGAAGGGCAAGGGAAACAUCAUGUGCCAUGACUCCAUUGAAGGCUUUUGGUGUGCUUCUGUUCUGUUUCUUGAAUCUCAUCUGGAACAGAGAUGUUCACUGUCACUAAUGUGAACUUACUUCUCCCCUUCCUUGUCAGCUCC